rnacentral:tRNA from 1 species
AACCACUUAGCUUAAAACCAAAGCAAAUAUUUUGAAAAUAUCCCAUAGACGUUAGUCUAGUGGUUU